rnacentral:rRNA from 1 species
UACAGAGGUGGCAAGCGUUGUUCGGAAUUACUGGGCGUAAAGGGCGCGUAGGCGGUUCGAUAAGUCCCGUGUGAAAUCCCUCGGCUCAACUGAGGAACUGCACGGGAAACUGACGGGCUUGAGUUCGGGAGAGGGAAGCGGAAUUCCGGGUGUAGCGGUGAAAUGCGUAGAUAUCUGGAGGAACACCGGUGGCGAAGGCGGCAUCCUGGACCAAUAUUGACGCUGAGGAGCGAAAGCCAGGGGAGCAAAGCGGGAUU